AUCUUAUCAAAAAUUAAUAUAAAAUUAUAUGUUUGACUAUAUAACUUUAAAUUGACUACACAACUCUGUAAUUCUCGCACUGCCACUCAUGAACACCCUUGAGAGCCGGCACUUCAUGUUGAUUGAUGAAGUUAUCACACACGCGUGUGUACACUCACGAACCAGAACAAGGGAAAAACUCAAACCGGCCCCUGGGUCGUCCUCCUGAGGGACUCAGGAGGCGACUAGGGUUCCCCUCGCGCCGCCACCCCCUUUCCCUGCUCUUCCUCGCCGCCACCUGAGGAUCUCGUCGGGUUUUAUUCCACGGACUCCGGGGAAGGUAGCCGCGAGGCCUCGACCGCUCCGUUCCUGGCGGAGUGUUUCAUAUCUGGGGCGACGGCCCCCAUUGGCGAGGCAACAACGUCUUCUCGAUUGGAGCCGGUUGCGGGCGAUUCUGGUCGGCUCGCUCAACCACGCGGUUGGUGAGCCGUCGACGGGGGCUGGUUGCGGCGUGGAGUCUACUCUCCUCGUCGGAUCUGAGGGUGAGCGUCUUGCAGGUCUGGUGGUUCGACGCCUUUCGUUCGAAGGCGAGAGGGAAGGGUCCCUCUGCGGCGCGAGAGGAGGAUGCUGCUUGGACUUCUUCAUCUUGGGAGUCCGCCCAGUUCAUGCCAAUUCUCUUUAUCAGGAGGUCCUCGUCCUACUCUUGCUGGUCAUUCCUUGGUACCAGUUUUGCUGUGGCCUUGGGCUAGUGUAAGCAUUGGGCUCGAUGUUUCUUUUCUUUUGUGCUUGUGCACUGCGUUGAGUUGUAAGCUUCCUAGAGUGCUCCCUUGUAUCAUGUGACCGAUUUGGUCUGUGGUGUGUCUGUAUUUUCUAGCCGGUUGAUGGCUUUGUUAAUUCAAAGCCGGGCUCUCCACGAUC